rnacentral:ncRNA from 1 species
CUUCAACUCCUUAGAUCAAUAAAAGAAAAAGAAUCGGGCGGCUCCAUUGUCCGAAUUGUAGUGAUCUGGAGAAGCGUCCUCAACGGCGGGCUGAGCCCAAGUCCCCUGGAAGGGGGCACCAGAGAGGGUGAGAGCCUCGUUGUGUUCGGACCCUGUCGCACCACGAGACGCUGUCUACGAGUCGGGUUGUUUGGGAAUGCAGCCCAAAUCGGGCGAUGAAUUCCAUCCAAGGCUAAAUACGGGCGAGAGACCGAUAGCGAACAAGUAUCGCAAGGAAAAGAUGAAAAGGACUUUGAAAAAAGAGUCAAAAGAGUGUUUGAAAUUGUCGGGAUGGAAGUGGAUUGGGGCUGGAUCGACUGGGGCAUGGACCAGCGUGGAUUGGGGGGCAGCCAAAGCCCAAUCUCCUCGAUUGUUGCAGGCAGCUAGCGCAUCGUGCUUCGGCAUCUGCACGCUCCGAACGCUGGGCUGUGCGCUCCCCAUUCGACCCGUUUUACUUCUCGAAAGUUAUGCUUACUGUUACCCAACUCAGUUCUCAUUAUUCAAGUACUUGCAAAACAAAAACAGUUGCAGAAAAAGAACACAAAGUAACUUGCUUUAUAUAAUGUUGGAAAACAAGAGAAGGUUGAUCACAACUUACAUUUGCUAAAACCAAA